rnacentral:rRNA from 1 species
UACGUAGGGGGCUAGCGUUGUCCGGAAUCAUUGGGCGUAAAGCGCGUGUAGGCGGUCCGGUAAGUCCGCUGUGAAAGUCGGGGGCUCAACCCUCGGAUGCCGGUGGAUACUGUCGGGCUUGAGUACGGAAGAGGCGAGUGGAAUUCCGGGUGUAGCGGUGAAAUGCGCAGAUAUCAGGAGGAACACCAAUGGCGAAGGCAGCUCGCUGGGACGUUACGGACGCUGAGACGCGAAAGCCAGGGGAGCGAACGGG